rnacentral:rRNA from 1 species
CGUCUAUAUACGUAUAGCAUAUCAAUAAGCGGAGGAAAAGAAACUAACUAGGAUUCCCUCAGUAACGGCGAGUGAAGCGGGAAGAGCUCAAAUUUGAAAUCUUCAAGGUUCUACCUUGACGAAUUGUAGUUUAUAGAAGUGUUUUCUGUUAGUGGAGUGGCAAAAGUUCUUUGGAAUAGGACAUCAUAGAGGGCGAGAAUCCCGUAUUUGGUCAUUCCUCCUAGCGUUGUGAUACACUUUCAACGAGUCGGAUUGUUUGGGAAUGCAGUCCAAAAUGGGUGGUAAAUUUCAUCUAAAGCUAAAUAUUGGCGAGAGACCGAUAGCGAACAAGUACCGUGAGGGAAAGAUGAAAAGAACUUUGAAAAGAGAGUUAAACAGUACGUGAAAUUGUCAAAAGGGAAGCGUUUGACACCAGUGUUGUUUUUCUCGAAAAUCAAUUAAACGAAUGGCUUGAUUUUGUGUUGUAUUGACCUUAAUCAGCUUUCUUCACUUUUUUCGAGUCUUUCUUAAUGCACUUUUUGGUUAACAAGUCAACAUCAAUUUCUUUUGUUGUAAAAGGGUCAUUGAGGAAGGUGGCUUUCUUUUCGGAGAAAGUGUUUAUAGCCUUGUGCCUCUGCAAUCGGAGAGAUUGAGGUCUGCAGCGUAGAUCCUUCGGGGUUAGAUACAUUUGUGCUAAGUUAUAGCUUUUCAUAGACAACUUGUUGACUAUGAUUUAGUCAUUGUAGCUUACUCGCUUACGCUAUUUUACCUACGCUUAGGAUGUUGACUGAUAUGUAGUCGUA